GACGAACGCUGGCGGCGUGCUUAACACAUGCAAGUCGAACGGAAAGGCCCUGCUUUUGUGGGGUGCUCGAGUGGCGAACGGGUGAGUAACACGUGAGUAACCUGCCCUUGACUUUGGGAUAACUUCAGGAAACUGGGGCUAAUACCGGAUAGGAGCUCCUGCUGCAUGGUGGGGGUUGGAAAGUUUCGGCGGUUGGGGAUGGACUCGCGGCUUAUCAGCUUGUUGGUGGGGUAGUGGCUUACCAAGGCUUUGACGGGUAGCCGGCCUGAGAGGGUGACCGGCGAGAUGGGGAAUGGUCGCAGGAGGGGAGGAAGAGGGGUGGCGGGGGGGGGGAUGCGGGAAGAAUGGGUGGGAGUUGGAUGCAGCUACGGCGGGUGGGGGAGGGUGGGAGUAGGGGAGGAGAAAGAUGUCGCAUGGGAAGUGCGGGGAGUGACGGGAAGGGGUAAAGAAGCAACGGCUAGAUAGGGG
rnacentral:rRNA from 1 species